rnacentral:rRNA from 1 species
ACUCGCCUGCAUGAAGUCGGAAUUGCUAGUAAUCGCGGAUCAGCAUGCCGCGGUGAAUACGUUCCCGGGCCUUGUACACACCGCCCGUCACACCAUGGGAGUCGGUAACACCCGAAGCCGAUAGUCUAACGAAAGAGGACGUCGUCGAAGGUGGGAUUGAUGACUGGGGUGAAGUCGUAACAAGGUAAC